rnacentral:misc_RNA from 1 species
GCAAACUUGGUCAUUUAGAGGAAGUAAAAGUCGUAACAAGGUCUCCGUUGGUGAACCAGCGGAGGGAUCAUUAUCGAGUUUACAACUCCCAAAUCCCAUGUGAACUUAUACUCUCAUGUUGCUUCGGCGGGUUUUUCGCCCCGGAACCAGGCCCGCGAGGGCCGAACCGGAACCAGGCGCCCGCCGGGGGACGGACCCCAACAAAACACUCUUUGUAUUUCCUUUGCAUGUCUGAGUGGAAUCAUAUAAAAUAAUGAAUCAAAACUUUCAACAACGGAUCUCUUGGUUCUGGCAUCGAUGAAGAACGCAGC